ensembl:lncRNA
AAUGAAGCUAACAGAAAACCUCUUAGUUGCACUGAGAUAUUCAUGGUCGUUGUGAAGCAAAGCGGAACGACAUUUGCAUGCAAGAUGCAGUGAAUUGUGCGUAACAAGCUGUUGCCGGGGUCAGCGAAGCUCCCAAGUGACCAGCGACAGGGCCAACAGCCAACUGACUGCCUACUCUACUCUGACCUCCCUUCAUUAGUAACCCCUGGGCUUCUCCUCAGACCUGGUGCUGCUGGGGGGACCUAUUUGUGGUCCUCCACUCAUCUGAGGGGAAGGGGAUAGAGGGAUAGAGACUGAAGGAACAACAGCUGCUGAUGGGGACCUCACGCUUCCCAUGGAAGAGCAGCAUCCUCCUGAGAGAAGGUGCUGUAAUCUGCAGUAAUCGAAUUCUCAGACAUACAUGAUAGCCACAGUAUGUCUCGAAGCCACAUUGUAUGUGAGUGAACACAUGACAUUGAACAUAUUGACACAUGACGUUGUGUGAUCUGUAUUGUAUUUACAAAAACAAUCAACAGUGCAAGUCGCAUGAUGAUCUUACACGGAAAGCUCUUGAAAACUUUCACAGACACACAAAAACAUAGAGAUAUUAAAACCGUUAUACAAGCAGUGUUAAAUGGACAAAGUGUAAUUAAAUGUAUUUUGUGUUAAGAGAAUCUGCUGGGGUGCCAGAGGAAUGCAAAGAAUUGUAGGCACUUUUUUCUGACACGGUAUAGUGAUGCCAUCAUGAGUUGCAAUGGGAAACAUUUACACACAGCAAAGAGCCCAGUGGGUUCACUAGUAGCAAUACAAGGUGACAUCAUCUGUCUGAUAAACAGUCUUGUGUCUGUUUAAUAAUUGAUUUAAUAAGGUAUUAUUUACUUAACUGACUUGAUUUUGAGUGAAUCUGGAUUCUGUUUAUUCGACAUAUUUAAC